rnacentral:rRNA from 1 species
GUGUCAGCAGCCGCGGUAAGACGUAGGAUGCAAGCGUUGUCCGGAAUUAUUGGGCGUAAAGAGUUCGUAGGCGGCAUGAAAAGUCUGGUGUUAAAGCCCGGAGCUCAACUCCGGUUCGGCAUUGGAUACUUUCAAGCUAGAGUACAGAAGAGGCAAAGGGAAUUCCUAGUGUAGCGGUGAAAUGCGUAGAUAUUAGGAGGAACACCGGUGGCGUAAGCGCUUUGCUGGGCUGUAACUGACGCUGAGGAACGAAAGCCAGGGGAGCAAAUGGGAUUAGAAACCCUCGUAGUCC